UUUCUCUUCUCUCUCUCUCUCUCAUCUUUCUCUUUCUCUUCUCUCUUUCUCUCUCUCUUUACAGCACAAUCGUUGCAUCUCUUACUCUCUUUCUGCAAUUUAGUUGUUGUAUCUCUCUCUCUCUCUCUCUCUCUCUCUCUCUCUCGCCGCCCCUUCUCCGCUAAGAAUCAUCGGGAGUCGUACCCCCUCGCAGCCUCUCCACCUCACCGUUUUUAUCCCUUGCACAUUCUUCGACAACAGACAGCCUUGGAGGAGCCGCCGCUGCUGUUCUGCUUUCGGCCAUGUCCAACGGAGCCUGACCUUCAGUCGCGUUGCCCCGUCCUUCACCCACGCUGCCGCCUCAACGCCGCGCUGCCCCGUGUCUGCAUCGACGCUUCGCUCUGGCUCCGAUCUGAAAUCAAUUUCCAUACAGAGAGAUGGAGAAACAAGCGGAAAUAGACAUAUCGUCGCCACCGACUAGAGCGAGAGUCCAGCGACGAGCGGCGGGAGGCGAGGGCGGCGCGAGAGUUGGAGAAGCGGCGGAGGGAGAAGGAGAGCAAACCCUAACGAAGAGAGAGCGGCGGAAGAGAGGAGACGAAGGAGAGCGAACCCAAAAUGAGGAAAAAAAUGGAAAAAAAAAUCUUUUAUAUUUUACGUAAUUGGAUCGGGCCGGGCGGACGUCCGCACAAUAUAAUUUGCGAUUUUUUUC